UCAGCCUGCACCACCUUUUUAUUUUAUUCUUUCAGAUGGAGACAGUUUGAUCAAAAUAUUUGAAAGGGAGCCAAGAAGACUUAAUGGGUGACAAUCAUAGGAGGCAUCGUAUUUUUGGCGUUUGCAUUUUCUGCACUAUUUAUAAGUCCGGCUUCUGGUUUUUAACAAGCUAUUUUCCUUUGUAUUUUAGUUUUAAGAUAGGUAACUCGAUGUACAUAUGUAUAUUAUAACUAAAAGUGGUGGAAAACACUG